GGAAGGUUGGCAGAGCGGUAAUGCAGCGGUUUGCUAAACCGUACAUCAAUAAAAUGAUGCGAGGGUUCGAGUCCCUCACCUUCCG
rfam:Candidatus Magnetobacterium bavaricum SAG41062, whole genome shotgun sequence.